rnacentral:rRNA from 1 species
AGUGAACGCUGGCGGUAGGCCUAACACAUGCAAGUCGAACGGCAGCACAGGAGAGCUUGCUCUCUGGGUGGCGAGUGGCGGACGGGUGAGGAAUACAUCGGAAUCUACUCUGUCGUGGGGGAUAACGUAGGGAAACUUACGCUAAUACCGCAUACGACCUACGGGUGAAAGCAGGGGAUCUUCGGACAUUGCGCGAAUGAGUGAGCCGAUGUCGGAUUAGCUAGUUGGCGGGGUAAAGGCCCACCAAGGCGACGAUCCGUAGCUGGUCUGAGGGGAUGAUCAGCCACACUGGAACUGAGACACGGUCCAGACUCCUACGGGAGGCAGCAGUGGGGAAUAUUGGACAAUGGGCGCAAGCCUGAUCCAGCCAUACCGCGUGGGUGAAGAAGGCCUUCGGGUUGUAAAGCCCUUUUGUUGGGAAAGAAAUCCAGCUGGCUAUUUCCCGGUUGGGAUGACGGUACCCAAAGAAUAAGCACCGGCUAACUUCGUGCCAGCAGCCGCCGUAA